UACGUAGGGUGCAAGCGUUGUCCGGAAUUAUUGGGCGUAAAGAGCUCGUAGGCGGUUUGUCGCGUCUGCUGUGAAAUCCCGAGGCUCAACCUCGGGCCUGCAGUGGGUACGGGCAGACUAGAGUGCGGUAGGGGAGAUUGGAAUUCCUGGUGUAGCGGUGGAAUGCGCAGAUAUCAGGAGGAACACCGAUGGCGAAGGCAGAUCUCUGGGCCGUAACUGACGCUGAGGAGACGAAAGCGUGGGGAGCGAACAGG
rnacentral:rRNA from 1 species